rnacentral:rRNA from 1 species
UUGAUCCUGGCUCAGAAUCAACGCUGGCGGCGUGCCUAACACAUGCAAGUCGAACGAGAAAGUCCCGCAAGGGAUGAGUAAAGUGGCGCACGGGUGAGUUACACGUAGCUAACCUGCCCUCGAGUGGGGGAUAACCUGGGGAAACUCGGUCUAAUACCGCAUAACGUCCUGGUUGCGCGAGCAGCCGGGAUCAAAGGCCUGCAAGGGUCGCUUGGGGAGGGGGCUGCGGCCGAUUAGCUAGUUGGUGAGUUAACGGCCCACCAAGGCUAUGAUCGGUAGCCGGCCUGAGAGGGCGCACGUCCACACUGGCACUGAAACACGGGCCAGACUCCUACGGGAGGCAGCAGUGUGGAAUUUUGCACAAUGCCCGAAAGGGUGAUGCAGCAACGCCGCGUGAGGUAUGAAGGCCUUCGGGUCGUAAACCUCUUUCGAUCGGGAAAAACAGGCUGUUGAAGAGCCAGCUCUGAUGGUACCGGAUGAAGAAGCCCCGGCUAACUACUUGCCAGCAGCCGCGGUAAUAAGGU